UAUACAUGCAGUCGAGCGAACAGAUGAGAAGCUUGCUUCUCUGAUGUUAGCGGCGGACGGGUGAGUAACACGUGGGUAACCUACCUAUAAGACUGGGAUAACUCCGGGAAACCGGGGCUAAUACCGGAUAAUAUUUUGAACCGCAUGGUUCAAUAGUGAAAGACGGUUUCGGCUGUCACUUAUAGAUGGACCCGCGCCGUAUUAGCUAGUUGGUAAGGUAACGGCUUACCAAGGCGACGAUACGUAGCCGACCUGAGAGGGUGAUCGGCCACACUGGAACUGAGACACGGUCCAGACUCCUACGGGAGGCAGCAGUAGGGAAUCUUCCGCAAUGGGCGAAAGCCUGACGGAGCAACGCCGCGUGAGUGAUGAAGGUCUUCGGAUCGUAAAACUCUGUUGUUAGGGAAGAACAAAUUUGUUAGUAACUGAACAAGUCUUGACGGUACCUAACCAGAAAGCCACGGCUAACUACGUGCCAGCAGCCGCGGUAAUACGUAGGUGGCAAGCGUUAUCCGGAAUUAUUGGGCGUAAAGCGCGCGUAGGCGGUUUCUUAAGUCUGAUGUGAAAGCCCACGGCUCAACCGUGGAGGGUCAUUGGAAACUGGGAAACUUGAGUGCAGAAGAGGAGAGUGGAAUUCCAUGUGUAGCGGUGAAAUGCGCAGAGAUAUGGAGGAACACCAGUGGCGAAGGCGGCUCUCUGGUCUGUAACUGACGCUGAUGUGCGAAAGCGUGGGGAUCAAACAGGAUUAGAUACCCUGGUAGUCCACGCCGUAAACGAUGAGUGCUAAGUGUUAGGGGGUUUCCGCCCCUUAGUGCUGCAGCUAACGCAUUAAGCACUCCGCCUGGGGAGUACGACCGCAAGGUUGAAACUCAAAGGAAUUGACGGGGACCCGCACAAGCGGUGGAACAUGUGGUUUUAUUCGAAGCACCGCGAAGAACCUUACCAAAUCUU
rnacentral:rRNA from 1 species